AUGCAGGCCAAAGUUUGAGAACCACUGCUGGAAGAUUCCAAUAGGCAUCAGCACUAUCAAAACACCUGCCUGACCCUCUAGGUGGGUCCUGUGCUUCCAUAAAGUCCUAUGUAAAUAAGGAUGUUUUCUUCCCCACCUGAUAUCAAGUUAGCAAGCUUAUGGAGGACCCGAAGGUAUUUUGAGCUGGUCAAAGGUGGAACAUAUGAGAAAGAAGGGCAUAGGGUGGAUCUAGACAUUUUCCCUGAUGCUUUAAUCUUUACAGAUGUUAUGCUGCUGUGAUCUAAGUACUAAGCAAAAAUCAUCAGGGGAGUGAUUAGAGAGGCUUGCUCUGGAUCACUCUAGGGAAGGUGGGGCUGCUCUACCUAAGAAUGCAUUUAGCCUCUGAGCAAUCCUUGAAAAGGAAUCACCCUUCCUAGAUCUUAGUUCCCCAACCAGUGAUCGAAACUGUGGCCCCUGCAGUGGAAGCAUGGAGUUCUAACCACUGGAUCGCCAGGGAAUUCCCUUUUCUGGUAUUGUUUUAAGGAUGUCAUAGGGUCCAUCUUUGCGUGAAGCUUCAGAGGGCUUCUGAACCCGCCCUUGACCACAUAGGUUCAAAAGGUGGCUCCAAAAUGGUGCCAAGUGACAGCCCUGGUUUGACAUCUUUUGGCUUCUGGACCUGGAGCUCCUCUUGAGCAGAGGCAGGGCCAAGCUUGACCAAAGGAGUCUCUGAUCUAAGGAGCAGCUUCUCAAAGGCAAGAAAACAAGUUUGCAGAGAAUAUACUGCUUUGAGCAAGACAUUCAGACGGAGUAAGAUGAACCCAUCAUUCGGCGGAGUAUGUAAAAGAGCCUAGCCCAGAAGCUUCUCUAUCUCCGGAGGUCCCUACUAACACAAUGGCCCUAAAACUAAAGUGAAUUUAUCACGGUCCCCACCAGAUGUGAAAGUCCCCCAGAUAAGGCCUUCUGAUUCUGUUUGACCAUUUCUGUCGAGAAAUAGUCUCAUUUUUAGUCUGGAGCUCUUUGUAUCAGAGAUCACAGAUCCAGAGCCCUCAAGAGGGCAAUAAAUUCAGCAGUUUUCUUGCUGCCAGGAAAUGAAAGCUUAAAACUCAUUUCAAGUCUCUUCCGUGUAACCCUGUUACAACUUGUCCCCACAGAAGCAGUCAGUAGGGCUCGAAUAGCCAGCAGUGGCCAGGAUGGCAAGAUUGCAUCUCCUAACUGCUGUCAUUCUCUUGGGAUUCUCUGCAUACUCCCUCUAACAGCAGGCCCCCUGGGGAAACACCAACACCCCCCCACCUGCACCAAACAAGCAUGAUUCAUGUGGAACUUGGAGACAGAUACCUUGAUGUAACUUGGGCAAGAAACCUAAUCUUUAUGUCCCAGUUUACUCAUCUGUAAAAUGGGAUGAUAGCACCUGCAUUAC